rnacentral:lncRNA from 1 species
CAGGAUGGGUUCUGGGCUGACAGUACCUGUGAAAGAAAACUUGGUUACAUCUGUAAAAGAAAACCCUUGGCAGAAGAAUCAGGGGAAGCUGAAGUUACUUACCCGGGAUGCCAGAAAGGCUGGAUGAAGCACGGCUUUUACUGCUACUCCAUAGGGCAACUGCCAGCAACAUUUUCAGAAGCAAAACUUAUCUGUGAAGAAAAUAAAGCUCACCUGGCU